rnacentral:rRNA from 1 species
UACGAAGGGGGCGAGCGUUGUUCGGAUUUACUGGGCGUAAAGGGCGCGUAGGCGGCCUUGUCAGUCAGGCGUGAAAGCCCCGGGCUCAACCUGGGAACGGCGCUUGGGACGGCGAGGCUGGAGUUCGGGAGAGGAGAGUGGAAUUCCCAGUGUAGAGGUGAAAUUCGUAGAUAUUGUGAGGAACAUCGAUGGCGAAGGCAGCUCUCUGGCCUGAUACUGACGCUGAGGCGCGAAAGCAUGGGUAGCGAACAGG